GGGCCUGUAGCUCAGUCGGUUAGAGCAGAGGACUCAUAAUCCUUUGGUCCAGGGUUCGAGUCCCUGCGGGCCCACCA
rnacentral:tRNA from 12 species